AAGGAUUUAAGUUAAAACAAACUCAUAGCCUUCAAAGCUAUACAUAAAGGAAGCUCUUUAAGCCUUA
rnacentral:tRNA from 1 species